UCCCAAGUAGCUCAGCUGGUAAAGAAUCCACCUGCAAGGCGGGAGACCCUGGUUCGAUUCCUGGGUUGGGAA
rfam:TPA: Bos taurus chromosome 9, whole genome shotgun sequence.